rnacentral:tRNA from 1 species
CUGGUAGUGGCGUAGUGGCUAACGCACUCGGUUUGGGACCGAGGGAUCGCAGGUUCGAAUCCUGCCUACCGGACCA